rnacentral:rRNA from 1 species
UACGGAGGGGGCAAGCGUUGUUCGGAUUCACUGGGCGUAAAGGGUGCGCAGGCGGCCAUGUGUGUGAGGUGUGAAAUCCCGGAGCUUAACUCCGGAACUGCGCCUCAAACUACAUGGCUAGAGCAUUGGAGAGGGAAGUGGAAUUCACGGUGUAGCAGUGAAAUGCGUAGAUAUCAAGUGGAACACCAGUGGCGAAGGCGAGUCCCUGGACAACUCCUGACACUGAGGCACGAAAGCUAGGGGAGCAAACAGG